CUUGGUCAUUUAGAGGAAGUAAAAGUCGUAACAAGGUUUCCGUAGGUGAACCUGCGGAAGGAUCAUUAGAGAGUGUGAGAGAGCUUGUUGGACGGCUGCGGGCGAUGGCAACGACGGAUGAGGGGUGGUUAGUUGUGGGAUGCUGCGAUAAUUGUGGCAUUUCGACAAUGUGCGAAUCAUCUGUGGCUGUCAUUGCAAGCAGCGGGUCGCUGGGACUGUAAGCCAGAGUGCGUGAGAUGUGAUGCAAGGUCGCUCUCCUCACCGACUAACAAUUAACACACAACAACAACAAAUACAGAAGCACCUCGCCGCAAUGGAUCUCUCGGCUCUUGCAUCGAAGAAGAACGCAGUCAAUUGCGAAAAGUAAUGUGACGUGCACCCUUUGAGAAGCAUUAUACUCUUUGAACGCACCUUGCGCGCAUCUCUGGAUGCGAGGUCCUGUUUGAGCGUGCCAUUCAUUAUAAAACUGGUAUUUGGCAGCUAUUUAUUUUAUUGAAUGGCGGCUGAAGAGCAUGCAGGCCCGAACGACUCUAGGGCGCCACGGGCAGCAGCGCGACAAGCACCACUGCGAGCCGUGGGACUGCGCGCGGGUAGUGAGUGUCGCACAACGACACGGCAUCCGCAACACACACGCAAACACCUCAAUCAGGAUAGAGGACCCGCCGAACUUAAGCAUAUCAAUAAGCGGAGGA
rnacentral:rRNA from 1 species